UACGGGGGGGGUAAGCGUUGUUCGGAAUUACUGGGCGUAAAGGGCUCGUAGGCGGCCAACUAAGUCGGACGUGAAAUCCCUCAGCUUAACUGGGGAACUGCGUCCGAUACUGGAUGGCUUGGAUUCGGGAGAGGAAUGCGGAAUUCCAGGUGUAGCGGUGAAAUGCGUAGAUAUCUGGAGGAACACCGGUGGCGAAGGCGGCAUUCUGGACCGACAUUGACGCUGAGGAGCGAAAGCCAGGGGAGCAAAGCGGG
rnacentral:rRNA from 1 species